rnacentral:rRNA from 1 species
AGAGUUUGAUCAUGGCUCAGGAUGAACGCUGGCGGCGUGCUUAACACAUGCAAGUCGAACGAAGCACCUUGAUUUGAUUCUUCGGAUGAAGAUCUUGGUGACUGAGUGGCGGACGGGUGAGUAACGCGUGGGUAACCUGCCUCAUACAGGGGGAUAACAGUUAGAAAUGACUGCUAAUACCGCAUAAGACCACAGCACCGCAUGGUGCAGGGGUAAAAACUCCGGUGGUAUGAGAUGGACCCGCGUCUGAUUAGGUAGUUGGUGGGGUAACGGCCUACCAAGCCGACGAUCAGUAGCCGACCUGAGAGGGUGACCGGCCACAUUGGGACUGAGACACGGCCCAAACUCCUACGGGAGGCAGCAGUGGGGAAUAUUGCACAAUGGGGGAAACCCUGAUGCAGCGACGCCGCGUGAGCGAUGAAGUGUUUCGGUAUGUAAAGCUCUAUCAGCAGGGAAGAAAAUGACGGUACCUGACUAAGAAGCACCGGCUAAAUACGUGCCAGCAGCCGCGGUAAUACGUAUGGUGCAAGCGUUAUCCGGAUUUACUGGGUGUAAAGGGAGCGUAGACGGAGUGGCAAGUCUGAUGUGAAAACCCGGGGCUCAACCCCGGGACUGCAUUGGAAACUGUCAAUCUAGAGUACCGGAGAGGUAAGCGGAAUUCCUAGUGUAGCGGUGAAAUGCGUAGAUAUUAGGAGGAACACCAGUGGCGAAGGCGGCUUACUGGACGGUAACUGACGUUGAGGCUCGAAAGCGUGGGGAGCAAACAGGAUUAGAUACCCUGGUAGUCCACGCCGUAAACGAUGACUACUAGGUGUCGGGCAGCAAAGCUGUUCGGUGCCGCAGCAAACGCAAUAAGUAGUCCACCUGGGGAGUACGUUCGCAAGAAUGAAACUCAAAGGAAUUGACGGGGACCCGCGCAAGCGGUGGAGCAUGUGGUUUAGUUCGAAGCAACGCGAAGAACCUUACCUGCUCUUGACAUCUCCCUGACCGGCAAGUAAUGUUGCCUUUCCCUCGGGACAGAGGAGACAGGUGGUGCAUGGUUGUCGUCAGCUCGUGUCGUGAGAUGUUGGGUUAAGUCCCGCAACGAGCGCAACCCCUAUCCCCAGUAGCCAGCAGUUCGGCUGGGCACUCUGAGGAGACUGCCAGGGAUAACCUGGAGGAAGGCGGGGAUGACGCCAAAUCAUCAUGCCCCUUAUGAUUUGGGCUACACACGUGCUACAAUGGCGUAAACAAAGGGAAGCGAGCCUGCGAGGGGGAGCAAAUCCCAAAAAUAACGUCUCAGUUCGGAUUGUAGUCUGCAACUCGACUACAUGAAGCUGGAAUCGCUAGUAAUCGCAGAUCAGAAUGCUGCGGUGAAUACGUUCCCGGGUCUUGUACACACCGCCCGUCACACCAUGGGAGUCGGAAAUGCCCGAAGCCGGUGACCUAACCGCAAGGAAGGAGCCGUCGAAGGCAGGUCUGAUAACUGGGGUGAAGUCGUAACAAGGUA